rnacentral:lncRNA from 1 species
GCCAGAUGGGGGGACGCUUCUACCUCUCUGAAAGUGACCCAGGGUGAAAGAGCUCCUAGGUCUCAGAUUGAGAACAGAUUCUAGACUCUUCCCUACCAAGAACCUGAAUGAUCUGGGAGACCCUAGGAGACACCAGGAUUGGGGCUGACCCAGGCUGAUGUGGUUUGGACUUGACAGAAUGUCACAAAUAAAUCCUCUCCUGCAUUUGCAUAUUAAUUGGAUCGGAGACGUCAAGCAUCUUUCAUUAAAGAAAAUGAUCUGCAUAUUUGGAGACAUAAAAUAGUUAUUUUGAUGGGUUUUUUUUCCCUAAGAUCAGGGGGUGGGGGAGGUAGGUGAUGGGUGCAGUAGAAAUUGAGGUAGAGUGAAGGCAAGCCAACCCCUCUGUCUGAGUUAACCCUGUGCGGGCUGGAGUCCUGGGCCAAGCUUGGGCAGAAGAUCAUUAAUAUGUAAAUCAAUCCAGGAGACCAGGGGCCCCAAGGCAUCUCGGAGUGGCCCAGGAGCCCGACUUGGCCUCUGUGCAAAAGGGACCCCUAUCAGAGAUGUGGG